rnacentral:rRNA from 1 species
ACACAGGUGCUGCAUGGCUGUCGUCAGCUCGUGUCGUGAGAUGUUGGGUUAAGUCCCGCAACGAGCGCAACCCUUGCCAUCAGUUGCUACGAAAGGGCACUCUGAUGGGACUGCCGGUGACAAACCGGAGGAAGGUGGGGAUGACGUCAAGUCCUCAUGGCCCUUAUAGGUGGGGCUACACACGUCAUACAAUGGCCGGUACAAAGGGCAGCCAACCCGCGAGGGGGAGCCAAUCCCAUAAAGCCGGUCGUAGUCCGGAUCGCAGUCUGCAACUCGACUGCGUGAAGUCGGAAUCGCUAGUAAUCGUGGAUCAGCAUGUCACGGUGAAUACGUUCCCGGGUCUU